AUGGCGGCCUUCACGGCGGCCUUCUCCUUCUUGCUCGUGCUGCUCCGGCUGCUGGCGCCCGCCAUUGCCGACGCCGGCGAGGCGGCGGCGCUGCUCGCCUUCAGGCGCGCGUCCGUGGUGGACGACCCGCGCGGUGCGCUCACGACCUGGGUGUCCGGCGCCGCCGCCAACUCCACCGCGCCCUGCUCGUGGGCCGGCGUCACGUGCGCGCCGCCGCUCGACGGCCGGGUCGUCGCCCUCAACCUCAGCGGCAAGGACCUCGCUGGCGACCUUCGGCUCGGCGCGCUCCUCGCGCUCCCGGCGCUGCAGCGUCUCGACUUGCGCCGCAAUGCCUUCUACGGCAACCUCUCGCACGCGCCGCCGUCAUCGUCGUCGUGCGCGCUCGUGGAGGUGGACAUAUCGUCCAACGCCUUCAACGGGACGCUGCCCCCGGCGUUCCUGGCGUCCUGCGGCGCGCUGCGGUCCCUGAACCUGUCGAGGAACGCCCUCGCCGCCGGCGGGUUCCCGUUCGCGCCGUCGCUGCGGUCGAUCGACCUGUCGCGCAACCACCUGGAGGACGCCGGCCUGCUCAACUACUCCUUCGCCGGCUGCCAUGGCCUGCGGUACCUCAACCUCUCCGCCAACCUCUUCACGAGCCGGCUGCCGGAGCUGGCAUCGUGCAGCGUGAUCACCACGCUCGACGUGUCGUGGAACCAGAUCUCAGGCGCGCUCCCCGCCGGGUUCAUGGCGACCGCGCCGGCCAACCUGACGUACCUGAGCAUCGCCCGUAACAACCUCACCGGCGAUGUCUCUGGGUACAACUUCGGCGUGUGCGGCAACCUGACGGUGCUCGACUGGUCCAACAACGGCCUAAGCAGCACCGGACUACCGCCGGGUCUCGCCAACUGCCACCGCCUUGAGACGCUCGACAUGUCAGGGAACAAGCUUCUCUCCGGCUCAAUACCGACCUUCUUUACCGAACUACCUUCUCUGAAGAGACUGGCAUUGGCCGGCAACGAGUUCGCCGGGCCGAUACCGGAGGAGCUGGGCCAGCUGUGCGGCAGAAUCGUCCAUUUUGACCUGUCGAGCAACCGGCUGGUCGGCGGCUUGCCGGCGAGCUUUGCAAAGUGCAGCUCCCUCGAGGUGCUCGACCUCAGAGCGAACCAGUUCUCCGGUGACUUUGUGGCCAGCGUCGUCAGCACCAUCUCCUCGCUCCGCGUGCUGCGGCUGGCAUUCAACAACAUCACCGGCGCGAACCCGCUGCCGGCGCUCGCGGCGGGGUGCCCAUUGCUGGAGGAGAUCGACCUCGGGGCCAACGAGCUCGACGGAGAAAUCAUGCCGGACCUGUGCUCGUCACUGCCUUCUCUGAAGAAGCUGUUCCUCCCAAACAACUACCUCAACGGCACCAUACCGACGUCGCUCGGCAACUGCGCUAACCUGGAGUCCAUUGAUCUGAGCUUCAACUUCCUGGUUGGCGAGAUCCCGCCGGAAGUAAUCACUCUGCCGAAGCUGGCCGAUCUGGUCAUGUGGGCGAAUGGCCUGUCCGGCGUGAUACCGGACAUCCUAUGCUCCAAUGGCACCGCACUGGCGAUGCUGGUGAUAAGCUACAACAACUUCACCGGAGGCAUCCCGCCGUCCAUCACAAGCUGCGUGAACCUCGUCUGGGUGUCGCUGUCGGCCAACCGUCUCACCGGGGUCGUGCCGCCGGGCUUCUCCAAGCUCCAGAAGCUGGCCAUCCUGCAGCUCAACAAGAACCAGCUCUCCGGCCGCGUGCCGGCGGAGCUCGGCAGGUGCAACAACCUCAUAUGGCUGGACCUCAACAGCAACGGCUUCACCGGCACGAUACCCUCGGAGCUGGCAGCCCAGGCGGGGCUCGUUCCGGAGGGGAUCGUGUCAGGGAAGGAGUUCGUCUUCCUCCGCAACGAGGCCGGCAACAUCUGCCCCGGCGCCGGACUGCUCUUCGAGUUCUUCGGCAUCCGGCCAGAGCGCUUGGCCGGGUUCACCCCCGCCGUGCGCAUGUGCCCGGUCACCAGGAUCUACAUGGGCACCACGGUGUACUCAUUCAGCAGCAAUGGCAGCAUGAUCUUCCUCGACCUCUCGUACAACGGCCUCACCGGCGAGAUACCGGAGAGCCUCGGGAGCAUGGCGUACCUCGUCGUCCUCAACUUGGGGCACAAUGAGCUCAGCGGCAAGAUACCGGAGGCAUUUUCAGGGCUGGAACUGAUGGGCGCCAUGGACCUGUCAAACAAUCACCUCGUCGGCGGCAUACCCUCAGGUUUUGGUAGCCUGCAUUUCCUCGUCGACUUCGACGUCUCCAACAACAACCUCACCGGUCCGAUCCCGUCGUCCGGCCAGCUCACCACCUUCCAGCCGGCCCGGUACGGGAACAACUCUGGUCUCUGUGGCAUUCCUCUGCCGCCAUGCGGGCACACUCCGGGAGGGGUGAGCGGGGGAGGAAGCUCACAUGAUGGGAGGAGGAAGGUGAUCGGGGCGAGCAUUCUCGUCGGAGUGGCGCUCUCGCUGCUCAUACUCCUGCUGCUCUUGGUCACGCUCUGCAAGCUCUGGAAGAGCCAGAGGACCGAGGAGAUCAGAACGGGGUACAUCGAGAGCCUCCCGAUGUCCGGCGCCACGAGCUGGAAGCUGUCCGGCGUCGAGGAGCCACUGAGCAUCAACGUGGCAGCAUUCGAGAAGCCGCUGAGGAAGCUCACCUUCGCGCACCUCCUCGAGGCCACCAAUGGCUUCAGCGCCGAGACCCUCGUCGGCUCCGGGGGGUUCGGCGAGGUUUACAAGGCCAGGCUCAAGGACGGCAGCGUGGUGGCCAUCAAGAAGCUCAUCCAUUACACGGGCCAGGGCGACCGGGAGUUCACGGCGGAGAUGGAGACCAUCGGCAAGAUCAAGCACCGCAACCUCGUCCCGCUGCUCGGGUACUGCAAGGUCGGCGACGAGCGGCUCCUCGUGUACGAGUACAUGAAGCACGGCAGCUUGGACAUGGUGCUCCACGACAACGACGACAAGGCCAUGGUGAAGCUCGACUGGGCGGCGAGGAAGAAGAUCGCCAUCGGGUCGGCGAGGGGCCUCGCCUUCCUCCACCACAGCUGCAUCCCCCACAUCAUCCACCGGGACAUGAAGUCGAGCAACGUGCUCCUGGACAACAACCUCGACGCCCGGGUGUCGGACUUCGGGAUGGCGAGGCUGAUGAACGCGCUGGACACGCACCUGAGCGUGAGCACGCUCGCGGGCACGCCCGGGUACGUCCCGCCGGAGUACUACCAGAGCUUCCGGUGCACGACCAAGGGCGACGUCUACAGCUAUGGCGUCGUGCUCCUGGAGCUCCUCACCGGGAAGAAGCCGAUCGACCCGACCGAGUUCGGCGACAACAACCUCGUCGGCUGGGUGAAGCAGAUGGUCAAGGAGAACAAGAGCGGCGAGAUCUUUGAUCCCACGCUGACCGACACCAAGUCCGGGGAGGCCGAGCUCGAUCAGUACCUCAAGAUCGCCUCCGAGUGCCUGGAUGACCGGCCGGCCAGAAGGCCUACCAUGAUCCAGGUCAUGGCCAUGUUCAAGGAGCUGCAGCUCGACUCCGACAGCGACUUCCUCGACGGCUUCUCGAUCAACUCCUCCACCAUAGACGAAUCGGCAGAGAAAUCAUCGUCGUAA
rnacentral:rRNA from 1 species